AUGGAAGCGGACGAGGCCCCUCACCCACCGCCGCCGUGGAAGCAGAACAAGUCGGCCGUGGCCGUCGAGGCCUCGUCGGGCUCGCUCGCCUCCGCCGCCGCGCGCUUGUCAGCCCGCUCCCGCGCGAUCCCUCCGGCCCGCGACUUCCAUUUCUACAACAACUUCCCCUCCUUCAAGUCCCCCGUCGCCGCCGCCGCCGCCAGGGCCGAGUCCUCCCUGGGCGUCCUCGGCGCCUCCACGCUCCUCCCCAAGCAGCAGCAGCAGCAGCCGCCUUUCCCCACGGAGGACCUCGACGACGCCUACGACUGGCUCGUCGCCCGCAAUGACGACCUGCUCGAGAUGUUUGCCGCCUCCGCGGACGAGUUCAAGGCGCUGCGGGAGAAGGAGGAGGCCCAGGGACGGAAAGUCGCGGCAGAAGAGAUGGCGGGGGACGGGUUCCAGGUUGUCUACGGCAAGAAGAAGAAGAAGGUGGGUAUGGGAGAGGAAGGAGUUGGCAGAAGUGAGGCCUUUGGAUCUUCUGGUUCGGUGAGGAUGGCCACCAUGGAUAGGGCUGCAGCAUCAGGGCCAAAGCCGAAGGUGCCCUUCCACAUCCCCACCAUCCCACGCCCGCAGGACGUGCACCGCAUUGUGGUGGACAACACGAGCAAGCCAUUCGACCAUACCUUCCUUGAGCGCAGCGAUGACGGUGCCCGUGCCAUACACCCACUGGAAAAACUCCCCAUGGAGCAACUAUUUGACAGGCGUGUUCCUGAAAGUGAGCCAUUAAAGCCACCUGCUUUAGAUGACACCCCUUUUACAUUUGUUGAAGACCGGAAAACCUUGGAAGUGUUGGUGACAAAGCUGAAGAGUGCAACUGAGUUUGCUGUUGAUUUGGAACACAACCACUAUAGGUCUUUUCAGGGUCUCACCUGCCUGAUGCAGAUUUCAACUAGAACCGAGGACUUUAUUGUAGACACUCUUAAGCUCCGCAAUUGUCUUGGUGAGAACUUGAGAGAAGUUUUUCAAGAUCCAACUAAGAAGAAGGUAAUGCAUGGGGCAGGUCGUGAUAUAAUAUGGCUUCAAAGAGACUUUGGAAUAUACGUGUGCAACCUUUUCGACACAGGGCAGGCUUCAAGAAUCUUACAAAUGGACCGCAACAGCCUGGAGCAUCUUCUGCAAUAUUUCUGUGGAGUGACAGCAAACAAAGAAUAUCAGAGUGCAGAUUGGAGGCUGAGGCCACUUCCUGAUGAAAUGACCAAGUAUGCUAGAGAAGAUACACACUAUCUGCUCUACAUAUAUGACUUGAUGCGAUUGCGAUUGGUGAAUGAGUCUUCAGGCGAUGAUCUUCUUUUGGAGGUUUGCAAGCGCAGCAAUGGAAUUUGCUUGCAACUAUAUGAGAAGGAGCUGCUGACUGAUUCAUCAUACCUUUACAUACAUGGGUUGAAAGAAAAUGACUUGAGUGCAAGGCAGCUGGCAGUUCUUGCUGGUCUAUAUCAAUGGAGAGAUGGCGUCGCUCGUGCUGAGGAUGAGAGCACUGGUUAUAUAUUACCCAAUAAGACUCUACUUGAAAUAGCCAAGCAGAUGCCUGUGACCACUGGGAGGUUAAAAAGAACAGUGAAGUCAAAAAAUAAAUUUCUUGAGCACUAUCUCGGACAUGUCAUUACUAUCAUAAGGAAUGCCGUCGCAAAUGCCGAUGCUUUUGAAAGUAUAGCUGAGCAACUGAAGAAGGGAAGGCUGGAAGAGUUAAUGGCGGCAGAAGCGAAGGACGGCAGUGAAGACAGUGAAAUGAUUCCUGCCGUCGAUGCUGAUAGUAAUGAAAGUAAUCUUCAGCUGAUUGCUGAACCUGAUGUAGCUCCCACAGUGAUUACAAAUGUCCAUACUGCUUCUUUCUGUACCGGGAAUGUUACGAGCGGAGCUUCUUUAGGUAAUUUGCAACUAGAUAACAUCACACCUGAAACCAAGAGCUUUGGGGCGUUGCCAGGCGCUACCGGGCAAGCAGAUACAGUGAUACCGAGCAAUGGUGGUGGUCAGCAGCAAGUAAUAAAGGCAACAGUUCAAGUAUCGAAGAGACCUACGGCUUUUGGUGCUCUGUUAGGAAAACCCUCUACCGCAAGAAGGCCAAAUCUAUUUCCAGGAUUUUCAAGUGACCAGAAUAAAAGCAAGGUGGAGAAGAUCAAGUCUUCCGUGGUACUGCCUUUCCAUCAUUUCUCAGGCGGUGCAAAUCCUCCAGCAACUAGCCCUCCAGUAGCAAAAUCGUCGGAACAUGAAGCGGAAAUCAUGUGCGAGGAUCCUGUGUCUCGGAUGGAGGAAGUGAUUCAGCUGGACACUGGAACAGAUGACCCAGAAAACGGCAACGCAGAUGGACAGAGCGAUUGCAAACCUGGAGACACCGAUGUGUCUAGCUCCCCUCCUGAGCCUUCCUCUGGCAUCGAGCAGCGCUGCAGAUCCCUCGACGAGAGCAGAGACCUUCAACAGAAGCACCAAGCACCGGAAGAACUGGAAUUUAAUGAUCAGCUGAAGGCCUUCGAUUACGCUGAAGCUAGAAAGAAUACUUCAUUUGGAGAAGUUAGAUCUGAGAGAAGAAAGGACAAUGCAGUGGCCAGCGCUAUCAAUGUGGAUUCUGGAGAUAAACGGAAAAGUUUGAAACAAACCCCCGGUGCCGGUGGCGGCGAAGAGGAUGAAGGGAACUUCCAGAAUCCACGAAGGCGACAGGCUUUCCCACCUUCUGGCAACAGGAGUGCUACGUACCAUUAG
rnacentral:rRNA from 1 species